UUCAUGUUCUACUACCACAACACAGAACAUUUAAUGUCUCCUUUGAAUUAAUCAAUACCUUACACCUGCAACCAACCCCUAUGCCUCACGCAACUUCGAUCCUAACAGCUAUAACAAAAUCGUCUCCAAUAAUCAAGAAUUCUUCGGAUAAUCCUAUUUCCCAGGCACUGUCAUCCUCCGGAACAAUCUACCAUGCACCGAACAUCAAAG